UACGGGGGGGGCAAGCGUUGUUCGGAAUUACUGGGCGUAAAGGGCUCGUAGGCGGCCAACUAAGUCAGACGUGAAAUCCCUAGGCUCAACCUAGGAACUGCGUCUGAUACUGGAUGGCUUGAAUCCGGGAGAGGGAUGCAGAAUUCCAGGUGUAGCGGUGAAAUGCGUAGAUAUCUGGAGGAACACCGGUGGCGAAGGCGGCAUCCUGGACCGGUAUUGACGCUGAGGCGCGAAAGCCAGGGGAGCAAACGGG
rnacentral:rRNA from 1 species